ACAACCCGGAGAAACUGAUUCAAUUACAAGAAAAAUAUCACUGCUCGUAGUGCACUUUUAUAGAGCAAAGGUGAACCUGUUUUUUGUUAAUUUUUCAGUGUCAUGACUAAGCUCAGAUGCCAUGCGGAGGGAAUUGCAUUUACAGUGCUCUUUUCAGGUGUCGUGAAGGAAAGGAUGAAGAGCUGUAACUGAACACCAAAAAGCGAUGAUGCGUUGCAAAUAGUUAAGUAUUCACUAAGAUAUGAUUUGUCGUCGCUAAAAGCAUGCUCAUUCCGCCUUGUUUGUGUGAUAGACGGUUAAACAUUCAAACAACUGAGAUGCCCAUUACUUUGAAUCCAAUUGAAUUAGGCCAAUUUUGAAAAUUACAAACAGUGCCAAGAAAAUUAUGUUCUUAUAACGAGUAGACAUUAUCUAUGCAUGUUUGAUAGAAAUGGAGGAAGAGGCCACACAUUAAUAUGCAAAGUCGAUAUAUGCCAUAAAUUAAUUAUUGCCAAAAAGUUGCCAGAUUUCCAACAAGUGCUUGUUUGUCACAAUCUGUACAAAAAUAUCAUCGCACGAGCUCGUCAAAAAAAACUGACCUACUUGAUCCCACUCCAGGCAAGGGGUGGGUUUUGGGGGUUCACCUUCCUGUUUAGGAAGCCGUUUUGACACAUAACAAGUCAUCUGAGUUCAGUUACUUUAGAAACGAGUUGUUGAAGAAACCUUUCGAGGGUGGCUGAAAAGGAGUUUAUGUAAAGUAUGUCAGCGGGCUAGCAACGGGAGCUAAGGAGUAAAACACAAAAUCGUAGAAAAUCGGGAUAUCGUUGACUGGAGAAAUUUAACCGUCGAUGAUCUCUCCAAUGGUUCCCGAAAAUGGGCAUCGGUAUCGGGAGAAAUGCGGCCACCAAGAAACUCUCAGGAACAGCUACCAGAUAUAUUAGCGCCAAGAAGGAUAAGAAAUCUUCGGUUUUAAAAGCAAUGUAAAUUAUUAUGGUCGACACCUCCGGAUCGAUUCAGGUCUCAACAAGUGACGAUAUUUGAAGCAGACCUGAGCAGAUCAGAUACAGCGCGAAGGCUGGCCAGCAAGCACAAAAGCAGCAAUGGAAAAAACGAUUAACACAAAUUAAAAAGGGGAGAAAUUGUAUCUAACGGUUGCCCCGGAGAGAUGAGGAUUUCGAGAUACAAGUGAUUUAGAUUUAGUCCGUAGACUCAAGGACAUUAUACAAGGAAGCCAGGCUACCCCACUUCCUCUCACCUUCUCCUGCCUAACCAUGCAUCAAAAGUGAUUUGCUAGAUUGCCACCAAACCGCUACUCAAGGAAGAUAGAACGUUCCACUACCGAUUGCAAUCGAGUUGUUGGCAAAAUAAUAACUAUAGCACUUGAUUUGUGCAAAAGUAUUACUUGGAGUUUCUUCUUGAAUUCAUAUUAUUACUCUCACUUUUACUACACUUUUUCAAACACACUUUUUUCACAUUUCGCGUCAAAAAGCACUAACGAAACUUUAAUCGAUUAACUGGAAACUUUCUAAACGCCGGAAAACUCGUAUUUGUGCGUUUAAAUUUUUACUUCGGUUUUUAAUUUUCCGCAAUGUAAACAAUAUCGCGACGAUCACUAGUAUUGGUAGAACCCACCAACUGUGGUGCCUUAAAUGAUUUAAAGAAAUUGUUUAAAAUGUCCUCUAGAUAUGUUUAUUUUAACUCAUGGUGCAUUUGUUAACCAAUUCCAACAAAGCAACAUUUCUUUAUUUUCGACGUAGUUAUGAAAUAAAUGUUUGUACUGAAAUAAUAACGCAAGUUUUGAUAAUAUUAAUAAAACUUGCGCUCCAAGACACCCGCAACACUGUAACAAGUAUUGCAAUCAAACGAAAUGCCUCUAUCGACGAAAAAGAAGUGCUAUCGUCCGCGAAAUUCGAAAGAAAUCGAUACUAGAGCAGAUAUCGAAGGAUGUUCCGGAUUCGGGAGAUACACGGAAAUCGUGGCAGCCGGUGUCUGGAAACAAGAUGUCAUCCACUGGGUUCUUGAUCCCAUAUCUUUAGAAGGGACGAAAUUAGGGGUCGCUCGCUUGUUAAUUGAUUU